rnacentral:rRNA from 1 species
AUGCUCAUCUACUCUACCUCAUCUACAACCUAUUCACAUGGUAUACUGACAGUUGUUUGCUUGAAAAUGUCUGAUCAAAUUGACAGCCAGAACAAGUCAGAGGAACAUGCUCAGAUGAGUGAGGGCACUAGUCCCUCAAGCAGCUAUGAUGAGGGUAGCAGGAGCACACCUAGUAACUUGCCCAAGGCAGCUACUGGGAUACGGAAGAAGAGAACAUCUGAUUCAGAGGAUGAGGAUUACAUUGCAGCUAAUGAUGAGGCCACUUCCAAGAAGAAAGUGAUAAAGAAAGAGUUUGGCACUGCAGCCUCAACAAAGCCAGGAAUGAACAGAAAAGCUCCAGCCAAGAGAGUGCCUAUGCUAAAAGUCAGAGCAUCCACUCAAGAAGCUUUGGGAUCUGAACCCAAAGAGGCUACUGCUGAAGUGAAGAAGAGGAAAGAAAGGGUCAAGAAGACCAUGGCCAGAGUUGUUGGGAAGCCCUCAAUGAUGGAAGAAGAGGAAGAGGUUGCUGCACCAGCACCUAAAGCUCAGAAGCUGAUGGGAGAUGCUAUCAAAUCAGGGGCCGCUCCAUCUAAGCCCAAAGAUUCUCCCAAGGCUGCUGCUCUUAAGCCCAAGACUGCACCCAAGAGAAACACCAGGAGUAUUCCAGCUGAAGAGAAGAACAAGGCCCCAGUGACUGAAGCUACUGAUGAAGAAGAUGAUACACUUGUCUUGAGAAAGUUGAAGCCUAAGAUCCCUGACCACAAUGAUGCACAUCCAGUUGCAGAGGACAUGAAGCUCAGAAAGGAUGCAGGACUGAGAUUAUGGAGACAGUCUGAUCCCUAUGCUGUCAGGAGGAGAACUGUUGUGGACUACAGGUUCCACACAAAGGAACAUCAAGACUUCUAUGAGACAAUCCUGCUUGACAAGAAGCCCAUAGUGUGUGACAUGAGAUGGGUUGACUGGGAGUACAUCAGGAAGAAUGAAUAUCAUUAUCCAGGAGUAUAUGACAGCUUCAAAUCAUGUGGAGUUGACACAUUUGUUGCUCAGGAGCUCACCAAGUGGAAUGAUGAGCUGAUCAUGCAGUUUUACUCCACUGCCCACUUCUACCCAGAUGGGAAGAUCAUCUAG